rnacentral:rRNA from 2 species
UCUCCGUUGGUGAACCAGCGGAGGGAUCAUUACCGAGUUUACAACUCCCAAACCCAAUGUGAACGUUACCAAACUGUUGCCUCGGCGGGAUCUCUGCCCCGGGUGCGUCGCAGCCCCGGACCAAGGCGCCCGCCGGAGGACCAACCAAAACUCUUAUUGUAUACCCCCUCGCGGGUUUUUUUUACUAUCUGAGCCAUCUCGGCGCCCCUCGUGGGCGUUUCGAAAAUGAAUCAAAACUUUCAACAACGGAUCUCUUGGUUCUGGCAUCGAUGAAGAACGCAGCGAAAUGCGAUAAGUAAUGUGAAUUGCAGAAUUCAGUGAAUCAUCGAAUCUUUGAACGCACAUUGCGCCCGCCAGUAUUCUGGCGGGCAUGCCUGUCCGAGCGUCAUUUCAACCCUCGAACCCCUCCGGGGGGUCGGCGUUGGGGAUCGGCCCUUUACGGGGCCGGCCCCGAAAUACAGUGGCGGUCUCGCCGCAGCCUCUCCUGCGCAGUAGUUUGCACACUCGCAUCGGGAGCGCGGCGCGUCCACAGCCGUUAAACACCCCAAACUUCUGAAAUGUUGACCUCGGAUCAGGUAGGAAUACCCGCUGAACUUAA